GGGGACGUAGCUCAGAUGGGAGAGCGCCUGCCUUGCAAGCAGGCGGUCGCCGGUUCAAGUCCGGCCGUCUCCACCA
rnacentral:tRNA from 1 species